rnacentral:rRNA from 1 species
GACGAACGCUGGCGGCGUGCUUAACACAUGCAAGUCGAGCGGUAAGGCCCUUUCGGGGGUACACGAGCGGCGAACGGGUGAGUAACACGUGGGUGACCUGCCCUCAGCUCUGGGAUAAGCCUGGGAAACCGGGUCUAAUACCGGAUAUGACUCCGUGACGCAUGUUGUGGGGUGGAAAGCCUUGUGCGGCUGAGGAUGGGCCCGCGGCCUAUCAGCUUGUUGGUGGGGUGAUGGCCUACCAAGGCGACGACGGGUAGCCGG